rnacentral:rRNA from 1 species
AACGAACGCUGGCGGCAUGCCUAACACAUGCAAGUCGAACGAGACCUUCGGGUCUAGUGGCGCACGGGUGCGUAACGCGUGGGAACCUGCCCUUAGGUUCGGAAUAACUCCCCGAAAGGGGUGCUAAUACCGGAUAAUGUCUUCGGACCAAAGAUUUAUCGCCUUUGGAUGGGCCCGCGUUGGAUUAGCUAGUUGGUAGGGUAAAAGCCUACCAAGGCGACGAUCCAUAGCUGGUCUGAGAGGAUGAUCAGCCACACUGGGACUGAGACACGGCCCAGACUCCUACGGGAGGCAGCAGUGGGGAAUAUUGGACAAUGGGCGAAAGCCUGAUCCAGCAAUGCCGCGUGAGUGAUGAAGGCAUUAGGGUUGUAAAGCCCUUUUACCCGGGAUGAUAAUGACAGUACCGGGAGAAUAAGCUCCGGCUAACUCCGUG